rnacentral:rRNA from 1 species
UGAGCUUGAUUCCUGGCUCAGGACGAACGCUGGCGGCGUGCCUAAUACAUGCAAGUCGAGCGAACUUCUUUAGAGCUUGCUUUAAAGAAGUUAGCGGCGGACGGGUGAGUAACACGUGGGCAACCUGCCUGUAAGACUGGGAUAACUUCGGGAAACCGGAGCUAAUACCGGAUAAUAUAUAGUACCUCCUGGUACUAUAUUGAAAGUUGGUUUCGGCUAACACUUACAGAUGGGCCCGCGGCGCAUUAGCUAGUUGGUGAGGUAACGGCUCACCAAGGCAACGAUGCGUAGCCGACCUGAGAGGGUGAUCGGCCACACUGGGACUGAGACACGGCCCAGACUCCUACGGGAGGCAGCAGUAGGGAAUCUUCCACAAUGGACGAAAGUCUGAUGGAGCAACGCCGCGUGAGCGAUGAAGGCCUUCGGGUCGUAAAGCUCUGUUGUUAGGGAAGAACAAGUGCGAGAGUAACUGCUCGCACCUGACGUACCUACCAGAAGCCG